CUCUACAGCUAUAGUGCCAUGAGCUGUGAUCUUGUCAGAUCUCAUAAGCUAAACAAGGCUGGACCUGGUCACUACAUAAAGAUUGCCAAGUGAAAAAAUAAGUCUGCAGAAC
rnacentral:rRNA from 1 species